GAGCCGGUAAUACCCGAAGUCAGUACGUCCAACCUCGUGAGGACGCUGCCGAAGGUAGGAUUGGCGACUGGGGUGAAGUCGUAACAAGGUAGC
rnacentral:rRNA from 1 species